rnacentral:rRNA from 1 species
UACGUAGGUGGCGAGCGUUGUCCGGAUUUACUGGGCGUAAAGAGCUCGUAGGUGGUUUGUCGCGUUGUUCGUGAAAUCUCACGGCUUAACUGUGAGCGUGCGGGCGAUACGGGCAGACUAGAGUACUGCAGGGGAGACUGGAAUUCCUGGUGUAGCGGUGGAAUGCGCAGAUAUCAGGAGGAACACCGGUGGCGAAGGCGGGGUCUCUGGGCAGUAACUGACACUGAGGAGCGAAAGCGUGGGGAGCGAACAGG